UACAGAGGCCUCGAGCGUUAGGCGGAAUCACUGGGCGUAAAGCGUGCGCAGGCGGCUUUGCAAGACAGAUGUGAAAUCCCCGGGCUUAACCUGGGAACUGCAUUUGUGACUGCAUGGCUGGAGUGCGGCAGAGGGGGAUGGAAUUCCGCGUGUAGCAGUGAAAUGCGUAGAUAUGCGGAGGAACACCGAUGGCGAAGGCAAUCCCCUGGGCCUGCACUGACGCUCAUGCACGAAAGCGUGGGGAGCAAACAGG
rnacentral:rRNA from 1 species